rnacentral:tRNA from 1 species
GUUUAGCUCAGUUGGGAGAGCAUCUGCCUUACAAGCAGAGGGUCAGCGGUUCGAGCCCGUUAACCUCCACCA